rnacentral:rRNA from 1 species
GAAGUAUCUUGGUAUGUAAACCUCUUUUCUCAAGAAAGAAGUUCUGACGGUACUUGAGGAAUAAGCAUCGGCUAACUCCGUGCCAGCAGCCGCGGUAAUACGGAGGGUGCAAGCGUUAAUCGGAAUUACUGGGCGUAAAGCGCGCGUAGGCGGUUUGGUCAGUCGGAUGUGAAAGCCCUGGGCUCAACCUGGGAACUGCAUUCGAUACUGCCAAGCUAGAAUAUGGGAGAGGGAAGUGGAAUUUCCGGUGUAGCGGUGAAAUGCGUAGAUAUCGGAAGGAACACCAGUGGCGAAGGCGACUUCCUGGGCCAAUACUGACGCUGAGGUGCGAAAGCGUGGGGAGCAAAC